GUGCUCACUUCAACAGCACAUGUACUACAACUGAAACAACACGACCCCUACACAAGUAUGACACACAAAUUUGUAAAGGGUAUCACAUUUUC
ensembl:snRNA U6 U6 spliceosomal RNA